rnacentral:pre_miRNA from 1 species
UUAUACUCCCUCUGUUCCUAAAUGUAAGUCUUUUUAGAGAUUUCACUGCAAAAUACAUACGGAUGUAUAUGGACAUAUUUUAGAGUAUAGAUUCACGCAUUUUGAUCCGUAUCUAGUCCAUAGUGAAAUCCCUAAAAAGACUUAUAUGUAGGAACGGAGGGAGUAAAU